rnacentral:piRNA from 1 species
GGCAAUGGAUGGCGGGUGACAUGGAAUUC